UACUUUAAUUUGACGAUAGAACUUCUUUUGUUAGAUGGCGAGGACUGUUUUCACCCGACGACGACCAUUGCCCCCUUGGGCGAGUCCAGAGGAGGUCGAGCGGGCCUACCGCACCUAUGCCCCAUGUCACGGGGAUAACCUCGGACAGUUCCUCGCAGGUUUUCACCGACACUGGGUCGAGGCGAGUGCACACGGAGUGUCAGGAUAUGACGGUAUUAUGAGGUUGAUCCUACUGUUGCCCUCCGAGUGGCGAGGGUGGGCUAGGCAGAUCUCUGCCCACUACAUCUUCCGCCGGGAGGAUUACCACGACCUCGUG
rnacentral:lncRNA from 1 species